UCCUUUCUAUAUUCUUCCCUGUGUAUCUUUAAAUCUCUCUUCCUUGCUUUCUUUCUCCUCUCACCACUGUCAACUCUGUCCUUCGCCUUUCUAUAGCCAUUCCUCUCCUGUACCUCUCACAUCAUUUAAGCCCACUCUGUCACUCUACCCUCGCUUUCCCUCUCACCUGCAUUCAGAUAUCCGGCAUUCAAGAGCUCAAAGACUGGUGGGCUCUCCCCGAGCUCAAAUUCACCACCUCACUCCCCCAAAUCCGGUUGUUCACAUAUGUUUCUUCCAGUGUGACUCCUGAUCAUUGUCCUCCACCGCCUGCGCCGGCUGCCAACUGUGAUGCAGAGUGACGUUUGCAUGGAGUUCCACAACAGUAUCGCUUAAUCAUCAUGGACGUGAGUGAAAUCGGCUCUCGCCUUGGAUCCAGCACCCUGGUGAGGAAAUUACAGGAAUUUGAAUCUCCAGGAAGAAUGUGGUACAGUGGACAUGUUUUGACAAUACAUUUACCUGGAACUGCCAAGAAAGGAUUCUGCAAGUAUUUGAAUCUUCAUGAAGUAUGUGGUAAUGUGUACGUGUUCUGACAGAAAAUUCACCUGGAACUGUCAAGAAAGAAGUGUAGGUUUGAUUUAUUGCUAUAAUGUUACGAAUGCUCGUGAUGAUUUGGCAAGAACUAAUGCAAUCAGCCAGAUUUGCUGCAUCCAGUCCAAGAGUGGAACAACAUUCAGAUGAACAUCAGACUCUGAACAAUACAGUCCAGGAACAUGUCUGUAAUUUAUCAUGUAAUGCCUCACUAAACUAAUGCCAUCUGCGAAUAUAUUGUCCUCAUGUAUCCAUUCCCUGCACAUUCAUGAAUGCACUUGAUCACCUUCUGAUCACCUCUGUCGUAUUUGCCUCGUGUACCAGCCCUGGAAGGGCAUUUCCUACACUCACCUCAAUGUGUGAAGCAGGUUCUUUGAGCUGCACCACACAGCAAUACCCAAUUUUAAAGCAGCCUUCUCAUGGGACAAUGUACAAUGGCCAAUCAAACAAACAACAGGUACGCUUUUGCAAUGUGGAAGGAAACCCAAGAAGCCGGUGAAAAUCUGGUGGUGUCACAGGGAACCGGUUCCCUUUUCAGAAGGCCUUUGACAAGCUGCUGCAGAUGAGGCUGCUCGGCAAGAUAAGAGCUCAUGGUAUUCCAGGAAAGAUGCGAACAUGGAUAGAGCAUUGGCUGAUCGGCAGGAAGCACGGAGUGGGAAUAAAAGGAGCCUUUACUGAUUGGCUGCUGAUGACUAGUAAUGUUCCCCAUUGGUCUGUGUUGGGACCGAUUCAUUUUAUGUUAUAUCUCAACAAUUUGGAUGAUGAAAUUGAUUGCUUUGUGGCCAGGUUUGAAGAUGGUAGGAAGAUGGAGGGAAACGUAGGCAGUACUGAGGAAGCAGACGUUACAAGAUUCACCCCUUGUAAUAAUGAUCUCUAAUGAUCAUAAUAAUGAGAAUCUGUAAUUACUGUCAAGUGCCUUUAUUGUCCCAAUGUUUGAACUCCUGAACUGACACAACCAAAUAGCUUUGAGCUCACCAACUAAUUUUCCUGGCCUUCCAUGAACAGGCAAAGAACAGAAAAUAUAAUACCAGUUAAUAAGGACUAUCUGCUGCUGCCUGCACAUUCCUUCUAGUCCCAUUUCAAGUCUCCACGUGUCCAUAGGGCACUACACAUCCCCAAUAAUCAUUCUGCUUCAGAGUCACCUCCAUCUGCACACUUGAAGCAUCUGAUUUUAUGUUCAUUUCUUAACAAUUCAGAUACUGCAUUCCAGUGUCGUAAGAAGAUUUCCUUGCGACAUGACAAAUUCCAAUUGUGGACUAGGAACCCACUCUUCUCUACUUUCACAGACGGGCGAUUCUUUAAAAGGCGCUGAAGAAGCAGACUUAAAUAUAUUACAUGCUCCUCAUAAAAGUCCGAAAAACUCAAACUGUCAUCGAUGUACACAAACAUGAACUUGUUGAACAUUUCUCCCAGAAUGUCUGACAGAUAACUGGACUUUUCAAAACAGCCUGUUGGGGUUUUAAAAACUGCCUUCUAGUUGUCUUCUUCAUGAAACAAAUACAUUUAGAAGCAUUCCUCAACUUCAGUUUUAUGAGAAUAGUUGCCCUUUGCAGUAACUCAAAUACUCUGUUAAUUAUGGAGAAGCAUCUCCCCCUCCCCCUCCAACUUUCAAAUCC